UACGAAGGGGGCUAGCGUUGCUCGGGAAUCACUGGGCGUAAAGGGUGCGUAGGCGGGUCUUUAAGUCAGGGGUGAAAUCCUGGAGCUCAACUCCAGAACUGCCUUUGAUACUGAAGAUCUUGAGUCCGGGAGAGGUGAGUGGAACUGCGAAGUGUAGAGGUGAAAUUCGUAGAUAUUCGCAAGAACACCAGUGGCGAAGGCGGCUCACUGGCCCGGUACUGACGCUGAUGGCAACGAAAGCCUAGGGGAGCAAACAGG
rnacentral:rRNA from 1 species